GACGAACGCUGGCGGCGUGCCUAAUACAUGCAAGUAGGACGCAGUUGCGAACGGGUGAGUAACGCGUAGGUAACUACCUAUUAGAGGGGGAUAACUAUUGGAAACGAUCGCUAAUACCGCAUACUAGUAAAUGGACCUGCGUUGUAUUAGCUAGUAGGUAGGAUAAUGGCCUAUCUAGGCAACGAUACAUAGCCGACCCGAGAAGGAGAUCGGGCACACUGGGACUGAGACACGGCCCAGACGUCUACGGGAGGCAGCAGUAGGGAAUUAUCGGCAAUGGGGGGAACGCUGACCGAGCAACGCCGCGUGAGUGAAGAAGGUUUUCGGAUCGGAAAGCUCUGUUGUGAAGGAAGCGGUACUUAACCAGAAAGGGACGGCUAACUACGUGCCAGCAGCCGCGGUAAUAC
rnacentral:rRNA from 1 species